GGGAGCCUGAGGCGGGAGGGGGGCGUCCGGCCCCGGGCCAUCGGGUCCCUGCUGGGGUCUGCGCCUGGGCCUGCUGACUGCACGGCCUCUAGGAGCGUGUGCCCCAUAGCCCCUUCGGGAACGGAGGUUCCAGGGGCUGCCCAGCCUUCCCAGGCUCCCGCUGAGGCUCCUCUGGACGAUGAGUGUGGCAUUUGUCUUUUUCCAGUUGUCAGGAACAUCUCCUAAUCACCAUGACCUUUCAAAAAAUGAGAGAGCGGCUUCAGAAUGAUGUCAUAGUCUCGUUGCCGCUAGACUGCAGGUUUAAAAUGCAGGGGUGCUGUCCUCUCAUCUUGAUAGAGAGUGGAAGCGCUAAUGGCACAUGCAGGGUGGUAUCCUGAUCUUAGCUGUGCACUGCCUUGCCUCCUGUGGCUGUCUCUGCAACCUGGGAAGAACUCCAUCGCUCUGCCUCUCCUUUCAGAGCCUCGGCUUUCCGGUGUCUGCUAGUGAUAAGUGACAUCCCUGGAACUUUGGCUACAAAAGAUCCACACAGCUGGGAAAUAUCGAUGCCUGAUACUUUGGAUCCUAAUCCUAAAUGACACUUGUUAAUGUGCUCUGUUAAUACUUGUCUUUGUUUUUAAAGAAAAACUCAGCUUUAUUUUUCCUAGAUUGGGGUGGCGGGAACUGAACGAUGAAAGAGACAAUGUCCACUAACGUGUAUUUUCAUUGAGAUGCUUUCUAAAAUAUGUUUAAAAUCCAGUGAAGAGAAGCUAGGCUUUCUUUAGACCUGUUGAUAGUUUGUCACAUAAUACCUUUGUGCUACCAGUUUGAACAGGAAAUAUGUUUAUUUCCCUAUAAAUAUGUUUAGCUUUGUCCAAAUAACUCUAGUUUCCUGUUAAGAUUUCCUCAGCCAGGGUGUGCCAUAAACUGUUUUAGAAGGAACGAUGCUGCCUGGAAUUGAACAGGGAUAAUGCAAGCCGUGGAAGGAAAACAGAAAGCCACCACAACAUUAAUUCUAAUUUGUUUUGGUUAAACUGUAAUUCAGUGAAAUGCUGACGCUGUAUACUCAGUGCAUGAUACCCUAAAGAGUGUCCUUAUCCACACUUCAGUUUGCUUCUGAAGACCUCCAGCCAACCAUUUUUUUUCCACAUGUCUGUUCUAGAAUGUAAUCUCUAAAGCAGACUUUAAAAUCUGUAAUUAUAAGUUGAUCUGUUCACUCUAUGAUAUGAUCUUUAUUUGUGUUGUAGUAAUUUAUUUCUUUGUUUCCCUGUAGGGUACUGUUGCUUGACCAAAAGGUACAUGUAGAAGUAGAAGUCAUGCUACUUACCAUAAUCUGCCCAUCUGUGAAUAUCGCUGUAGUUUCUGCCAAUGCAUUUAAAAACUUUUGUCCAUACCUGUGGGUUAUCUGGUGACUCAAAUAAUCCUGUCCUCCAUACAACAGUAUAACAGUGGAAUUUUGACUGAUAACUUUUGGAUGUAGAAUCAUUGCUUUCUUUAGUUAAAAACGGUUUGUAGAAGUAUUUUCAACAUCUGAUGUAAAAUGAUGGAAAAAUCUUUCCUGUUUUAUGUUGUACAUUUCUGAUUUUGUUUCCCUGUCCAGACCUCACAGGGUAUAGAAAUACCAGAAAGAUUUUAUUUUUUUUAAUGACUUAAGUCUAAGUUUUAUAUUUCAGUACAGAGUGAUUUGCUUAUUUUAUUCUGGUACCUUGCUACAAAAUGAUUUUUUGAAAAUGCUGGAAACAAGCAGUUAAAAAAAGAAAGCACAACAGGUUCUAGUCAUACUCAUUUUUCCACACCUUGAGGACUAGCAAAUUCUUUAAUAUGAGAUUUUAUUUGUACAAAGCAAAACUUCAAAACCUUUCAAAAGCUUUCUUAUUAACUGCUGUCAGUCCUUUGAUUUACAAGGGCAAUAAAGAUCUAGAGGGGGCACAUUUAUCAUGGAGUUCAGCACACCAGGAGCCAUUUUCUCAAGCGGUAAAGCCAAGUGAUAAAAUGAAUUCUUUUGUUCUAUAACCAAGACACAUUCCCUAUUUUUAAAAAUGUGUGUGCUGGACUUCUUGGCUUGUAGUUUGGCUGUGUUCCUGUAAUACAUUUAUAAAUAAUGAAAAAUUGCUAACAUGCAGAUGCUGAUGAUGCAUCUGGAAAAACAGACUGAAAGAAAGAAACUUACUUUCAACUUCGGUUUGUUUGCUAACUUUUUCUCCAGUGCUAAUUCUUGUACGAUUUUUUUAAUAGCUCUUUUUAAACUGGAGUGUUUGGGGUUUUCCCCCCUUUUUUAAAAAAAAAAAAAAAAGAAAAAAUGAUAUACCUCUCUGCAAAGCUGAAAGAAUUCUGGUUAGGAAUAAAAAUACUCUAUUUAAAAUAGAGCCAUGUUCCUAGGGUAUAGUGCUAUUUUGCAAGCUUCAGCUGCUUCAUCUGUUUCUAAACUCGAGUGACUUUUUGAGUGUUGUUCUUUAAUGUUAGAAGAUAGAAGCUAAAUUUUUCUUGUCUAGACCAAACUAUUAAUGGCUUGUAUGGGCAUUUCAUUAACAGACAUAGCUGUGUGGGAGGAACUGAUUGCAAGAGUAAAUAUCCUCGCAUGUGAGCCACGGGCUCAGAAUCUGACUCUAAAUUGAAUAUUAAACAAAGCGAAUUCUGUUUUUACCAUAUAAAAAUGCUGCCACCUACAGUCUCCUCCUGGAAGAGUGAUGCGUUGCCGCUUUCACCAGUCAGCGGCCGAAAGCUCUGUGAAGUCCAGUUCUGCUCAGCUCUCCAGUGUUGUUGCACAGGCACCUUUGAAAUAGAAGUAGGAGAACAGACUUGCAAAAAGUACUUUCCAAUAUAAUUUUGACUAAAAUAAUCUUUAAUUGUUAACCUAAAACUUUGUGUGAAGUUGCUCUUGAUGGCUUGCCUUUGACUGGGCUGCUGUCAUAACAUAUGGAGGAGUGAGACUGACAAAGGUCAGAGGCAUUAAACUUUGUUCAUAUUUAAAUCAGCACCGCGCUCUGGUGCCCGGGGAACUACAGCAGUGCUGCGGCAGUACCCGUUGUCCCCAGGUUAUGCCAGGGGUGAUGGAUGGGCUUGGGAGGCGUUUUGGACAAUAGCUGUUUCUUUGGUUUUAUUCUUGGUUUCUUUUGUAGACAGACCUUUAAGAAAAGCCAUGCUGUAAGCAGAUUGCACUCAUAGCAAAGUUAGCGCGUAGCUCUCGAAUGGGGCGGUUUAUGAACAAAAGCACUGAACCAAAGGUACAUAUAUACCGGGUUUGCUAUGCUUGCUUUGACUGUGGUCAGCAGCAGGUUUGUAGAUAAGUGUUUGUUAGAACAGGGCAAACGUACAGUGGCAUUGUCACAAUAAGAAAUGUGGAACAGCACAGGUCUUGCCAAGCCUAUUUAUCGAUCCUAAGUAAAGCCUCUUCAGCUGUACAAGGUGUGUGUGGGACAAACAAUUUUUCAUUCACCGUAUUCUACGUUAUGUAGUUUGGAAGUAGGGCUUGUACUACUAUCACCCUGAAUCAUGUGCCCACGAAAGCACAUUACUGAAAAAUUAAAGAAAAUGUUUCUUGGUGAGUGACUCGUAGUAGUGAUUUAUCCAGAAGGAAGCAGCUAUUGCAACAGCGAAAAGACCCCACCGUAACUGCUGCACUAGCUUCUGUGAAGCUAAGGCUUCGGUUGACCUAUCGUGGCAGUCAUCUCUAGCGCAGGGAUUUUGCAGAUCUCUUUGCUGUAGUUUUGUGCUGGUGUGUGAAAUUUAGAAAGAAAAGACGUAGUCUAGGAGGCCUGCCUUUUUGCAUAGCUGUAUAUGUUACUUCUGAUACUUAGAUUGCAAAACCUUUAGUCUCUGAUAUUUAAGGUCAGAAAUUAUAAGUUUUGUCUGUGUUUGGUUUUUUUUAAACCCUGGGGCCUCUUAUACUGCAGUGUCUUGAAAGAUCCUGAAGCUUUGAGGGGGAAAAAAAAUUGAAAUACUUUAUUUUAUGAAGCAGUUUUGGGGUCAGUUUUUCUAAAAUGAAUGCUUUUAUGUUGGAUAGUUUAAAGACCAUCUGUUAACUGAAACCAACCGUAAGUGAAGUUGCAGUUAUGUUUCCUAUUAGUCUUGUAUCUUUCCUAUUAGUCAUGUAUGAAAGAAUACAGAGACGUCCAACAGAACUCAAAACAAAAAUUGAAAAAGCAGAUGUUGAAACUGUUGGCUUGUUGCUUUUCUUUUACAGGAGCAAGUAAUUAUUAAUGGAUGACAAAAAUACUAUGAGACUGGUUUUGUAAACUGUUACCUAGAAUCACAGCUAAGAUGUAUUUCUGAUUAUUGUAUAUUGCAGUUGAAAAUUGGAGUAUUUCACUUGGAAAUGCUGAAGAGGGUUUUAAAAAAAUAGAUCAUGGAUGUUAUGUCUGGAAGCAUACAAUGAAAGAUAAAAUAGAAAAUUUUAAAUAGUUCUGCACUUCUAGUCUCUCAGGGCUCAUUUAUUAUGUUGUCAUGGUGAGCAAGGAAUAAAAAAAUAAAAUAAAAAGGCUGUUCCUUGGGUAGUUGUGACUUAUUGGUAGUUAUCUUUUACAAGAGUUCCAUGCUGACUUAAGUAAAGAUCUCUGAGAAAAAAAACAAACUUUAUUUUUCAAAUAAAUUCAGUAAGAGCUCACAGCCUUCCAUGACACCACACUGAAUUAUUGUUAGUGUACACUGCUGUGAGAAUAACUCUCACCGCUGUUUAACAACAAUAUCUUUCCAUGGAAUUUCAGAAAGUCAGUAGGAAAAUGAAAGGCAGAAUUGAGUGCUGAAGCAGAAUUAAACCAGUCCAUCCUGAAGCCAAGAUACUUUCAUCAUUACUUCUGUAAGGAAGAAGAAGAAGAAGAAUUAACAUGUACUGUACAUGCAGGUCCAUAUGAUUUGGUUGAAAAAUUCUUAAUGGCUUGUGUAUGUUAGGCAGGAGGUCCUCUCUUGCCUGAAUAAAAUCUCCUUAUGUAUA